rnacentral:piRNA from 1 species
UAAGAAUAGAUUCAAUUAUCUACACCUAGU